AAAGCUGUGAGGAGGAGGGUAGGUACUGGUUUGUAGGCUGUUUGUCCAAGGACAGUUGAAUUGCUAUCUGGGCAUUGGAUGACAGUUUGAAGAAGUAUCACCUACAAAUUGAUUGUAACUGCCGAGAAGCAGACAUUAAUAUUUGAGUCAGUAGCAUGGAUCUCUCCUGAAAUACACCAGCUUGCUGCAAAGGAACAGAAACAUGAGUGACUUGGAUGCACCUUGGGCAGAAAGAAACAGAUCUCGGACAAGACACUGCUCUGUGCUGCUCUGGGCCUGAAGUGGAAGACUAUCCAUGAUGUUGGCCAGCUUCCUAUCUAAUUGAAGACCCCCAGAGUGAUCACAUUGCUGAAUGGUUGGAGAUACUUUCUUCUGGAUUUUGUUCAGGCUGCCCAAGAUAACCAGAAGACUUGAGAAAAUAUUCAGUGCGAACUAAGUGAAGCCUACUCAUGGCGACUUUCUGGUCAGUGGGGUUGGUUAGCAGAGCUCAGCACUGCCCCAGCACCAUGUUGGACAGUUCUGGGGGAAGGAACACAGCAGACUUUGCCUUGCCAAGUGCUCUGCCAGUGUUAUCUUUUUUUCUUUUCCUCACAGAAGGGAUAUAGUUUACAGAGUACAGAGGGAACUAUUCCUACAGAAGAAUAUUUGUUAACAUGCUGUUCAGCAGAUGCAACCUGGAUGCUGAAAAAUGUAUCCUUCUAGCAGUAACUUUCGUUUGCUGAAUAGGCUAUUCAGAAAAUUGACAUUACUACAUUGUUGGUUUUUUUCCAUUUUCAUUCCAAUACUUUUUUGCAUUGCUUUUUCAUCCUUCAUUUGCUGACUUCACAGACUUCUAUUUAAUUUAUAUUUUUUUAUAUUUGUGAAGAGAUUUCCCAUUUCUGAAAAACUCCUUCCUUCAUUUUUUGUUGUGUUGGUUUUUGUUUUUUUCAAUCUGUUUCAUAUCCAGUUUCAAAUUUCAUCUUGGUUUUUGUACAGUCAGACUUCACUAGAGUGCAUCUUUUCAAAUAACCCAUCUCACUAGAUUCCCCUUACGUGCCAAAAGAACAGUUGUAGCCUCAGUCCAUUAAAAAUACAUUGACUAUCAGCAAGGUCAGAAGAGGAAGCAUUAGAAGAAUAGUUAUUUGUUAUUUAGAAUUCAGUUGCAGAGAGCAGGUGAUUUUUUAAUGUCAAAUUAAAUUAAAAUGAAAAAAGCACGCAUGUCUCAUCCCUGCUAGAGCCAUAACCUUCUCAGAUGCUCUCAGUGAUGACCACCUCCCACUGGAACCAGCAGAAGCUUCUUGGCAUCAUGUCCCAGAGGUCAGCACUCUGCAGCUGCUUUGGAAAGGAUCCAAAUAGCUUGCUCACAGAUAUGUCCUCCUUGUGAAGAACAUUUCGCCAUCAGACUCUAUGCAAAAAGGAAGGAAUCUAGUGAGAACAUCCUGCUACUUAAGUGUUGCCCUCAGGAGAAACCUUGUCUGACAGAUUGUAAAUGUCUUUCUUUUCUUCUCCCUUUGAACAGGAGUGUGCAUUUGUGGAAAUCUGUGGAAAGUGUGCAUAAAAUAGCUAAGCUACAGCAUUUGUCAUGUUCUGGUAGAUAUCUUAAAGAACCCAUAGAGCAAAUCUGGCUAAUUAGCUCAUACAAGAGUGAGGUAAUGUAAGCAACUUAGAAAACAGUAAGUCAGAAACUUCUCUUAGUGUCAACAACAUGAAAAGUAAUAUAAACAACAGCAUUCAUUCUUCUUUGUAAUUACAUUUCUGUAGCAACUCCUCAGUGCAAUUGCCCUAUUGUAAAUAACUGAAGGAUACCACUCGUGAUAUUUCCAAAAUAUUUUAUGAAGGAAAGUGUUUAUACAGGAUCAUUUGGAUGGCUAGAUCCAGAAUGUUACAUUCAUUUGACUCAUGUGAAAAUUCCUAGUGCCACCUAUUGGCAGAAAUAAUAAAAUGUUAGAC
ensembl:lncRNA